rnacentral:lncRNA from 1 species
UUUUUUGACACGGCCGGGUGGCUGGGCUGUGAAAAAUAUAUGUUAACUGACACGGCCGGGUGACUUUUUGACACGGCCGGGUGAAGGGGCUGAAAACAAAACAAAAAUAAUUUCUUGUUUUGUUACGUUAAGCACGGAACUUGUUUAUACUCGAUUAUUAAAGUGUCAAAACUAAUUAUUUACAUGGUUUUGACCGUAGGUGAAGAUGGGAUAAGCGGUUUGAAAGAUACGAAAGUUUUCGUGCAAAUAAACGGCAAAAUAGGAAGGCUGGAAUGCAGGGGCCACCGUAACUUACGGUGCCACCGUAAGUUACGGUGGAGCUGAAGGCUUUACGGCAGCCCCCUACUGAUUUACGGUAGGGGCAUGUCACACCAGGGGCCACCGUUCUUUUUGGAUGCCGGAAGACGAUCAAGCUCAUCGAAGGACCGAACACGAUAAAGAUACAUGCUUCCGCACAUUUCCUCGUCGUAAAUUUUUAAACGACAAACUCGAUCACUUAUGUUGAAUAACUUAUGAUUUGUAAAAGUUUUAAUAAACUCGUAUUUUCAUAGUAUGUGUAAACUUAAUUACACAUCUAAUUGUUGGUAUUUAUAUAUAUAUAUAAAAAACGUUA